rnacentral:rRNA from 1 species
GAUGAACGCUGGCGGCGUGCCUAAUACAUGCAAGUCGAGCGAACAGACGAGGAGCUUGCUCCUCUGACGUUAGCGGCGGACGGGUGAGUAACACGUGGAUAACCUACCUAUAAGACUGGGAUAACUUCGGGAAACCGGAGCUAAUACCGGAUAAUAUAUUGAACCGCAUGGUUCAAUAGUGAAAGACGGUUUUGCUGUCACUUAUAGAUGGAUCCGCGCCGCAUUAGCUAGUUGGUAAGGUAACGGCUUACCAAGGCAACGAUGCGUAGCCGACCUGAGAGGGGGAUCGGCCACACUGGAACUGAGACACGGUCCAGACGCCUACGGGAGGCAGCAGUAGGGAAUCUUCCGCAAUGGGCGAAAGCUUGACGGAGCAACGCCGCGUGAGUGAUGAAGGUCUUCGGAGCGUAAAACUCUGUUAUUAGGGAAGAACAAAUGUGUAAGUAACUAUGCACGUCUUGACGGUACCUAAUCAGAAAGCCACGGCUAACUACGUG